AUGGCGGCGCUGGAGAUCGCCUUCGCCGCCAUCAGCGUCGCGGUCAUCGUCGCCAUUGCCUACUUCCUCCACACGUGCUCGCGGGAGGCCACGCCCGUGCCGAUGCCGCCGCCCCCCGGCGCGGAGGAGGCCGCCGCCGCAGCCGGCGACGUCGAGAUGCAGGCCGGGAUGGACGAGGCCGCGAUCAGCGCGCUGCCCAAGGUGGUGGUGCGCGGCGGGGCCGGGGAGGCGUCGUCGUCCUCGUCGUCCACGAGCUGCGCGGUGUGCCUGGGGGAGUACGACCGGGGAGACGUGCUGCGGGUGCUGCCGGACUGCGCGCACUCGUUCCACCGGCCGUGCGUCGACCAGUGGCUGCGCCUCCGCCCCAGCUGCCCCGUCUGCCGCACGCCGCCGGCAGCCCCCUCGCCCAGCCAAACGUGA
rnacentral:rRNA from 1 species